GGUCUUUUAUUAAGUUAUCAAAUUUGUAAUGCUAAUAAUUCUUCCCCUAUUAAACCAUCUUUCUAAAGUAAUACAUUCCAUGGUACAACCUCUUGUAUUGGCAUCAUUGGUUUUUGUUCAUAUAUCAAUUCUAUUGGCAUGUAUCAUAAAAUCAUAUUAUGAGUUGUGUAAUUUUUUCAUAAUAUAAAUGGUAAUAACUUAGGCCAAUCACUUAUUUUGCCUUUACUUACUUUAAUCAAUGCUUUAAUAAUUGAAAAGUGCCUACGUUCAUUCUUGCCAUUUCUUUCCGAAUUAUAUGCAAUUUUUAAUACAAGUGUAAUGCCCAUCCUCUCAAAGAUCUCUUGUACUUCAUUUGCAUCUAACUCUCCUCUAUCUGUAGUGAUUUUUUCAAUACAACUAUAUUGGCAAAUAAUUUCUUUCAAUAUAAACCGAUAUAUCCCUUCCAUAGUUUUUAUUCAAAGCAC
rnacentral:lncRNA from 1 species